rnacentral:rRNA from 1 species
UAGGGAAUCUUCCACAAUGGGCGAAAGCCUGAUGGUGCAACGCCGCGUGUGUGAUGAAGGCUUUCGGGUCGUAAAGCACUGUUGUAUGGGAAGAACAGCUAGAAUAGGAAAUGAUUUUAGUUUGACGGUACCAUACCAGAAAGGGACGGCUAAAUACGUGCCAG